UCAUACUUUUAUUCUUUAACAAGUUGUAUUUAACAAUAAUUCAUCAAUGCUCUUAAAUAUAUAGAUAUAUGAAUGUUAACAGGUAAAUAUAAUAUAAUCAUAAUAAUUAUUACUUCAAAAGUGUGAGACACAAAAAAUGAAAAAAAUAUUUCAAAUGAUAGAGCACUUAGUUUUGCUCCCUAACUACAGUAAAAGUAAAGAUUAUAGAUUUUUUUUGUCUUACCACUUUUGAAGGCUCCUUUUAUGUUUUGAGUAGAGAUCAGAAGAUAAAAAUCCUUCAUCACCAGCAAAAGUACAAUAUUAUAAUAAUCAUUAUCAAAUUAUGAUAAAAAAAACAUUUGACUUUCUAAAUUUCUAUUUACAUUGUAAACUUUUAUUUGUAUACCACUAAAACUUGAAACGUCAUCCUAUAUCAUACAAUUACAUUAAAACGAUUCAAUCUUCUGUUUAUUGGCAAAGCAAAAUGUGUUCAUAUUUCAGUCCUAUAAACAAUAACAAGCUUUAAUAGUAUGAAGGACAAAUAUGUUUGUUUUGAUCUGGUGAUGUUUCAAUUGACAAAUAGUGGUUUUCAUUUCUUCUCUAGUACAGAUAUGCUAAUAAAAAGUAAGGGUUAGCAUUCUUCAAAUACAUUAGAUAGGUCAUAAGAAACUGAAAUACAGACUUAUUUUUUUUUAAAUUUACCCUAAACAAGCAUGUCAAGAUGAAACACACAAAUUCACACUCAAAAACUAUGAUAUAAGCUUUCAUACCAAAUAAACAAAAUCCUGAAGUUCUAUACAAUAACUACAUAACAUGAUCAAUAACAUGAAUACAGCACUUUAUGCAAUUAUGAAUCACAGAAUAAUUAUACUCAUGUUACAUUAAAAGACAUGAUCAAAUUUAAUUAGAUAUAAGAAGAUGUGGUAUAAGUGCCAAUGAUACAACUCUCCAUCCAAGUCACAAUUUAUAAAAAAACAAAAACAUUUUCUAAUCUAUAUAAAAAACAAGAAAUGAUAGAAUAGAAGAUUUCAUCUUCUAAAAUCUUUGAUCUUGACAUUAUGGUGUUCUUUUGAGUUGAACAUAGUAAAAAAUGUACAAAAGCAGAGUGUUCUUUUUUAAAGAUCUUAAAAUUUUAAGAUUUUGUACCAGUAUUCAGUCUAGUUAGAAUUUGCUAUUCUAUGAAAUCAUUGCACUAUGAUUGACAGUAGAAAUAUUGGGGAACUUCACUAAGAAUUCAAACAUUAUACAUCAAAAUUAUGCCAUAUAAUCAAAUAACAGUAAGAAUGAACUGGUUGUUUUGUCAAUUCAACAAUGCAUAUAACCAGGAAAAUAAAUUUGUUAUUGCAACAGCCAAAAUUCUUAUUUUCAGUCAUCAAAAUCGUAUGAGAAAACUUUUGAUAAAAAUCUUAUAUUCUUAUCAAAGGAUAGCUUUACCCAUAUGAUAAUAUUUAAUAUACUAGAACACACCCGUGAUAUCGCGGGUGCGUGACUGAAUUAAAGUAUAUAACUAUGCGUAAGCCUUAUUUUAGUAUUGGUAUUGUCAUCUGAUAAAGUCGUGCCGAUUAUAAGAUACACAGUUGUCUCUGCUUUCAAAUCUUUCUGUUUGAACCCGUCGACCUGGAACUCUUCAAUUAUUGGUAAUAUUCAGGUCCUGGAAUUGAGUAUUUUUUAAUCAACAGCAUUGUCCAAGAAAGUUGAAUUCUUCGAUUCGCUGUUUUACGUCAUGCCCGCUAACAAAUUGAAAACUGUACCUAUACGCCUUUUUUUAAGUCAAAAUAUUUAGUAUUCGUAUUGUUAUCUUAGAAAGUCUUAAUAAUUAAAAAACUACAAUAGGGAACAAUUUGACAAUGAUUGCAUUUAGUUGUGUCGACCCUGUGAUUAUGACCCGUGUAUAUAGCAAAAUCAAAUACACCGUUUGGUGGUGUGCCUGUCAGAUGGGGAACGUACAGAUUGUUAAUUAUUGGCAAUAUUAAUUAUGUAGAAAACAAAAGGGUCUGGAGUGGUGUAAUUUUUAAUCUACACCAUUGUCCUAUAUUAGCUAUAUAUAAAGAUGAAUUCUUUGAUUUGUCGUUUUUACCCGAUGCCGGCUGAUAAAUUGGAUUUGUUAUUUUAGCAUUAUACAUGUAGAUAUCAUAAACUAUAAAUAUAAAAUAUAAAUACAAAUUUUGAAAAUAUUCAUCAGUCCAAAUAAUAGAAAUUUUAUCUACAAUUCUGGUGAUUACUUUUUUGUAAUGGAACAUAAAACAAUAUCCAAAAGAUUUAUUGAUUGGUGUUGAAUGCCAAUUCAAAAACUAUUCGGCUAUGAGGUAGCCUUCAAUUUCUAUUGGUGGAGAAAGCCAGAGUUUCCAGAGAGAAUCACAUCCUUUUGCAAGAAAACCGACAAUCCUGCUCAAUUCAGAUUGGAGUCGAACACACCUGUCAUGUGCAGGAAUAUAAAUUCAAAUCUGUUGACAGGAUAGUGAUACAGUAUUUAGACUACUCCCACCACUUGGCCAACAUAGCCCUCCCCUUUCCAAAAGAGCACAAUUUUGCAUUAUAUUACACAAAUACAUG
rnacentral:lncRNA from 1 species